CCUACGGGCGGCUGCAGUGGGGAAUUUUGGACAAUGGGCGCAAGCCUGAUCCAGCCAUGCCGCGUGCGGGAAGAAGGCCUUCGGGUUGUAAACCGCUUUUGUCGGGGAAGAAAUACUCUGGACUAAUACUCUGGGGUGAUGACGGUACCUGAAGAAUAAGCACCGGCUAACUACGUGCCAGCAGCCGCGGUAAUACGUAGGGUGCGAGCGUUAAUCGGAAUUACUGGGCGUAAAGCGUGCGCAGGCGGUUGUGUAAGACAGAUGUGAAAUCCCCGGGCUCAACCUGGGAAUGGCAUUUGUGACUGCACAGCUAGAGUACGGUAGAGGGGGAUGGAAUUCCGCGUGUAGCAGUGAAAUGCGUAGAUAUGCGGAGGAACACCGAUGGCGAAGGCAGUCCCCUGGACCUGUACUGACGCUCAUGCACGAAAGCGUGGGGAGCAAACAGGAUUAGAUACCCCAGUAGUC
rnacentral:rRNA from 1 species